UUGAUUAUGUGUCAGGGAAACGG
rnacentral:miRNA from 1 species